AUUCCAGCUCCAAUAGCGUAUAUUAAAGUUGUUGUGGUUAAAAAGCUCGUAGUUGGAUCUCGGCGGUCUGAGGGCGGUUCGCUUCAGAGCGCUACUGCCCUAUAGACCGUAGUUUUGCCAGAGGUCUCAGGGUGCUCUUAACCGAGUGUCUUGCGAUGCUGGCAGGUUUACUUUGAAAAAAUUAGAGUGCUCAAAGCAGGCUUUUACGCCUGAAUAUUCGUGCAUGGAAUAAUAGAAUAGGAAGUCGUUUCUAUUUUGUUGGUUUCUAGUACUGAAGUAAUGAUUGAUAGGGAUAGUUGGGGGUGCUAGUAUUGAGCGGCCAGAGGUGAAAUUCUUGGAUUCGCUCAAGACUAACUUAUGCGAAAGCAUUCGCCAAGGAUGUCUUCAUUG
rnacentral:rRNA from 1 species